CGCCCCUUCAGAGCACGCGCGCACCCACGCGGACCUGUCCGGUGCGUCACCGCGGGCGGCUGGCCCCGCCCCCAGCUGCCGGGAAGCGCCGGGAGGCGGGCUUGGAAAGGCGCGUUUCGGCUGGCGGCUUGGAGGAGUGGCCUGGGGACUCAAGCCCCGGGUCCGGUUACCUCCGGGUUGUGACCUAGCUGCCGAACCCCUGCUGGAGUGCGGGAACCCCUCCCACGGAAACUGCGAUGCAGCCACGCACCCGCGAGCAUCCCGAGUGGGCGGACGGAAAACCCGAUGUUCGCCCUGCCCCCGCGCGCAGCCGGGAACGCUUGGUCCCUCCCAUUCCUCAACGGUUUGGCCUCCCGCGCUGCCACGCCUGGCCGCGCCCAUCCCCCCACCGCCUCCCGGGCACGCGGAACCCUACGCGGUUUCCAGGGCGACAGUAACUUCGCACUGCAGCAGAGGGCAGUCGGUGACCGUGGAGAGAGGAGGCACCGCUAGUGGGGACCCCUCCCCAGCAUUCACGGGAUGGAAAUAGUUAAAAGCUCAGAGGCCCCGCACUGUCACUCCGCAGCCUCAGUGCCCCACCCCACCCGAUGAUAAUCCUGAGCACUGCCAGGUGAACGCAGACACUCGGGUCCCUCUCAAUUCAUUCCCCCCACCCACCCAAGACCCUCAGUAACCCCUCUUGGCCCGAGUCCGGGUCUCGCCCGGGUACUGCGGAUAGCAAAGUGCUGGACUCGCUUCAUCCCCGCGCCACCUGCGGGCUGAGCGAACAGAGUGCGUGGGGGAAGGGAAGGCCAGAGUGCAGCGCCGCCGCCCUCUCGCGCAGGCGCCCUCCCGCCCGCCCCCUCCCGGGGUGGGAGCCCCACUGACGUCAGCUAGGCCAUGUGCUUAGCGCCCGCGUGGAGAAGGGCGGGGGAACCUGCCGGUAGCAAGAGGAAGCUGGCGCUGUGGCUGUCCAGGCACCGCCCAGCCCUUCCUCCCUUCCCCAUACCUGAAUGUACCGCAGCGCAGUCCGCAGCACGCUCAGAUUCGAAGUCUUCUUGUCGUCCACGUUGGGGAUGUUGCGCUUCAGGGUCUCAAAACAUUCCUUCAGAUGGGCCCUCCUGGGGAGAGGGGGUGAACACUGGUUAGCCAUCGCCUGAGUACACAGGAGCUGGAGGCAGGGACAAACCCAAUGAAGCUUUGGGGAACCAGGAGGGACGGGCCCAGAGUCACACUUGUAAGUGCGCGUGCACACACCUGUUCUUCUCCAAUUUGUUGUGGACUUCUCUGGUUCCGAUCCUGAAACCCAGACAGAUAGGAGGCUCAGGGAGGAAGACCCAAAUUAGGCCUUCCGGACCCACAUCACCCAUACCACCAACUGACCAGGUGUCCCUAACAUUUUCUAUAAAUUAAUACUUCUGGCCCUGUGUUGAGCCCAUCCAACCCUUGGAGGGUACCUCUAAUGCUCCUAACUCAUUGCCUCUGGAACCCUCUAUCCCACUGGUCCAACACAAGACACAAGGGAUUGGGUACGGGUUCUAGAAUCUUUAUGCAGAGGUCUGGAAAUGCCUGCCAUAAUCUCCAGUGUUGCUGAGGUCCAACAACACGAAAAGCUAAGAACGACAAUCGGCAGGACAGUCGUUUACUAUGAGAGGUUACUGGGCAAACACAUCACAACACUUCAUGAGGAAAGGGGCCCUGGACUCCUGCUCCCAGGCUACGUCCAAGGCCUCAAAUCUCCCCAGAGAGCAAUGAACACAGUUGUCUCUUCUUCCAAACUGUUACAACCCA